rnacentral:rRNA from 1 species
CUUCCCGAUGAUAAGGCGCCGGGGCCAGGAGGCUUCACUGGAGUGUUUUUCAAGGAAUGUUGGGACAUCAUAAAGCCGGACAUUAUGAGAGUAAUCAACAACUUCUCAACUAUCCACAUCUCCAAUCCACUGGCUCAACUCGGAAAUAUUGCCCUCAUUCCAAAGAAAGAUGGGACGGAGGACAUUUCUGACUUUACGCCCAUAAGUCUCAUCCAUGCGGUUGCGAAGAUCAUUGCAAAUAUGAUGGCCACACGUCUCGGUCCUCACAUGUUUGACCUCUCCAAUACGCAAAGUGCUUUCAUCAAGAAAAGGAGCAUACAUGAUAACUUUAUGUAUGUCCGAAACUUGGCACGUUGAUUUCACCGCAACAAAUCACCGACCUUGCUCUUCAAGCUAGACAUCAAGACAUCGUCCGACUCGGUUAGAUGGGACUACUUGAAGGAUUUAUUGAGACAUCAUCAUUUCUCAAGCCGCUUUGGAGACUGGAUCUCUGCCCUUUUACCCAUGGCCUCGUCCAGAGUUCUCCUAAAUGGGGUGGUGGGGGACCCCAUUUCGCACGGAUGUGGACUUAGGUAG